rnacentral:tRNA from 1 species
GCCUCCUUAGCUCAGCGGUAGAGCAACGCACUUGUAAUGCGUAGGUCAUCGGUUCAAUCCCGAUAGGAGGCUCCA